rnacentral:rRNA from 1 species
CACGUAGGGGGCAAGCGUUGUCCGGAUUUAUUGGGCGUAAAGAGCUCGUAGGCGGUUCGGUAAGUCGGGUGUGAAACCUCCAGGCUCAACCUGGAGACGCCACCCGAUACUGCUGUGACUAGAGUCCGGUAGGGGAGCGUGGAAUUCCUGGUGUAGCGGUGAAAUGCGCCAGGAUAUCAGGAGGAACACCAGCGGCGAAAGGCGGCGCUCUGGGCCGGAACUGACGCUGAGGAGCGAAAGCGUGGGGAGCAAACAGG